UUUUGUGCGGGCUGGGAGCGCGGCUGAUGGCGGCGGCUGCUUGUCCUGCUGCCGCUUUCGCGGUCUUCUCGGUUGCCUGCGGGCCAGGGGAGGCCUCCCUCGUGGCUCCGGGACCGUUUGGGGUCCCCAUCCGGGCCGUGCCCUGCUCGUCUGCUGGGUCCUCUGCUCCAGACCCCGUUCCCCCAGCUGCUCUCCUGAAAAUUGCCUGACUCUGCGCUCGAAUACUCCCUCAAUGCCUCUCGACCCUGUCGUGACUGCCGUAGGUGACAGCCGAUUCAUAAAAACGGGCUGCUUCAAAAUGUAAACAGUUCACAGUUAACACUGUUGAGAACUCCUGAAUGCGGCCAUCGCUAUCGCCUGACUCCACAGUGAGCUUGCGUACUGCAUGUGACAGCUUUGUUAGCUCCCUGUAUCAGCCCAGAAAUGCAGCUGUGGUAAAGCAUGGGAUUCUUUUGCUUGUGGCUAACAGCACGUGUACGUGCUGACCUGGGUGUGAGGGAGCAUUGGAUUUUGAAGUGGUAAGAGCAGCUCUGUGACUCUCCUGUGCAUUGAUUCACAGAAGUCUCCACAUCAGCUCCACUCUGUGUAUCAGUUGUUGUUACUGAUCUUUUUUUUAACCUGUCUUGAGCUCAUUAGGAAAGGAGAAAGAUUGCAGAGCCAUAGGGAAAGAUUAAUCUUUGCAACAGAAUUAAAAGCAGGGCUUUUAACACAUCUUAGGUUGUGUACAGAGCAGGCAACUGGUUCAAAUUAAGGUUUGAGCUGCUGCUGGAUUGACGUUUGGAUUUGAAGCAGUGUAGAUCAGUCUUUCCUGUUUUGUUGCCAUCUCACCAAAACCUCUCAGCCAGGAUCUUCCACGUAGGCAGCCUCCUUUUGCAGUUUGCAUUCUAGAAAGGAGGUCUAAGAGCAAGGAGGUCCACUCUGAAGCUACGUUAUUCUCUGCAGGUCAUCUUGCUCCAAAUAGCUGCUGGUGUCCCAAGCAUUCAAAUGCUUGUCAUUUCAAGUAACUUGGAAUUCUCUUGCCAUAUUCCUGAUAAGUCCAGCCCUAUGAGAAGUGAAAAUUAAAAUAAAACUUCCUUCCCAGGUAAAGGGAUGGAGCCAAGAUGAGUGAGCAUGGAGAGGUAACAGGGAGUAAAGAUAUAGCAGAACUGGAGAUAGGGGAUAAAGGUUGAUGGAUGUGCAACAGAAAAGAGGACAGAGCAGCAGAGGUGUGAUAAUGAAUAUAGACUACUUAGCUAUGGCCUGAAAUAUCCGUGCUGAGGCAGUACCUACAGACCUCCGCAAUGUGUCCAAAAUUCAGAUAGCUUUAUUUCAGGUGACAUAGCUGGAACCAAGAAAUAAAAUUAAAUCUCUCUUGAAUACCUGUGUUAGGUCUUCCUUGCAUGAAAUACAGGAAGAUUCUUCGGCAGUGUGAAACAAAGCUGUGAUCCAGAGUCCAGAUCCGCUAUUGUCCUCCAGCUUUCUGCUUGCUCAUACUUCCAUAUUCUUGUGUAAGCAAGCAGUGCUAACAGCAAUCUUAGGAUGGGGAUGACCUCCAUGUUGCUAGGUGAGGCAGGCUCAGGAGCACUGAGGAAUGUGAAGGAGACUGCAAACUGCUGGUCAAGGUCACACAAAAGUAUUGGGAUCCCAGCACAUGUCUCUUAGGAAAGGCACCUCUCUUCUCUACCAGAAACAAGCACCACGUGAGAACCAUUGGCUAUUGUAUAGUAUGAGUCAUAUGAACACAGACAGGUACCAUAUGGUCUAAUCAAAGACUGAUUUGUUUGUAGCGUUGCUGAUAACCAGGUCAAAAUAAUGUUACUGCAAGAAAUGGACUUGACUUUCCAAAGAGAGAUGGAUAUUUUCAAGACUCAUUUAGGAAGCAGGCUCUAUGAACAUGGAGAGACUGAAGCACAUUUCAUUAACAAUUUACAUCAAAGGAUUGAGCAGAAGGAUAUACAAAGUUGUGUUCAAAUUUUGUUCUUCACAGUGAAGGAAGAAGCAUCUAGAAUGGAAGAGUAUACCAUGCAAAUGAUCAAGUGUUACGUCAGCAAUCAAAAAUUUGAAAAACUGGUAUUUUUCUGGUUCACAUGGAAGGGUACAUCCAUUUGUCUAUUAGCACCAUUAAUUUGUAUAAGAGACCUAUAGUUUUGACUGAUGAUUAUGAUACAUCACACAGUUACUUUAUCAGAAUUAUCACAUGAAAGACUCAGAGGCAGAAAGGCCAGUAUCCAGUAAGCAUCUUGAGCCAAAAUGACUGAAACAGCCAAGUGGCAAGAAUGGCAGUUAUACUUACUUCAAGCAAGAGUGGGUGUGAGAAUACAAACUGAAGGAGGCUAAAAUCCUGUGUGAGGAACAGAGGCACCUGAACAAAACCAAGACAACUGAUUGUGUGUCUUGAGAUACCCUGAGAACAUUGAAAAGAAGCAAAGUGUAACCAACUGCUGGUAACAAAUGCCUGCAAACACAAGAUUUACAUGAGCAGCUGAGCUGGCUGGAGCAAAAAACAGGUGGAAUGAGAACAAGGAUGCAAUCCGAAGGUCUCUGAGGUUCAGCAGCUGUUCUCAGUUUUGGGGCGUAUUUAAUGGACGAGCUUUUAAAUUACAUUAAGUACCAAAUUAGAGGGUUUGAGCCAGCUGUGCUCUUGUGGAUCGUUAGACCCCUCAUAGCCCAGGACAAAGCAUGUGAGAGACAGCAGUAAAACAUUUUCAGGAAGGAGUAUCCAGCCACAGAACUGCCUUCCAAAGAAGAUCAGAUUGAGUUUAUUGGCUCCAUCUCCAUUGGAUCCCCACCCCAAGAGUUCCUUGUGCUCUUUGACACCGGCUCCUCCAUCCUGUGGGUGCCCUCAGUGAACUGCUCUGGUGAGGCCUGCGAUAAGCGAUGACAGUCUUCACACACCAGUGGGUCCAGGUUGUGACCAUCCGACUCUUCUGCAAUUGCAGUCAACCACAACCACUUCAAUCCCCAGCAGUCUUCCACCUACCGAGCCAUCAACCAGCCUGUCUCUCUCUACUGUGGCACUGGCAGCAUGACUGGAGUCUUGGCCAAUGAAAUGGUACAUGUCGGAAGCAUCCAGAUCAGCAACCAGACCAUUGGCCUGAGAGUGAGCCUGGUUCCUUUUCUACUGUGUGCCUUUUGACGGUAUCCUGGGCCUGGCCUUCCCCAGCAUCGCUGCGUCUACAGCCAUCCCUGUCUUUGACAACAUGAUGAAUCAUGGUUUGAUAUCUCAGGCCCUCUUCUCGUUUUACCUCAGCUCAUAAUUUGAGGCUGGAAGAUCCCCUUGUCCUGUAACUCAAUACAUACCUGUAUACCAUGUCUCUCAGCAGUUGUUCACAGAGAGGUCUCCGUCAGAAUUCCCAAACUCCAGGCAACCCUUGGGUGAAAAAUGGGAGAUGUUUAAGCCUAGUCACAAACCACACAUUUUUGGGAACAUCAUGACCAAUGGCAUAAGAAUCACACUUGGAAAAUUUGCAUGAGGAGAAUGAGGUUUAUAGAGUUUAAGUAUCAUGGAAAAUGUAAACUGAUUUCAACUUACAGCAGCACUGAGUCCCACCAUCCUGUUCUUCUUGAAAUAGAUGACAACAGUCUUAGGAUCACUGUGAAAAAACAUACUUCUGAGCUACCCCAGAAUUCCCCACCUGCAGUCUUUUUGCAAUGUUUUAUGCAAUUGUUAUAAACUCUUUAACCAACCACUAAACAUCUCUCUGCUGUCCUCUCUCUCUUCUCUAGUGAGCACAAGACGAGUUUUGUGACAUUUGGAGGCACUGACGAUUCCUGCUUCUCUGGAAGACUCAACUGGAUCCCUCUGUCUGCCGAAACUUACUGGCAAAUAUCUAGGGACAAUAAGUGGUCAGCUGCAGUGCCAAGAACUGCUUGCCUGACAUUGUCUUUGUCAUCAGCGGUAUCAAGUUCCCUUGUGCCUGCCAAGGCUUACAUCCAUCAGUGGCCCAUUUUCAGAAGACACAAUGCAAGACUGGCUUCCCACCAAAAGCAGAGGAGACCAGAUGAAACUGCAAUGUGACAGCGAGUUCAAGCUUUAAUCAGUGAAGCACAAUUCAUUAAUUUUUGGCUGAGAAAGAGGAAUUUAGCACUUGAAAUACAAGGUGAACUUCAGUGCAGAAAGAAACAUUUGGGGGUAGCUCACCAAUACAUCAUAUGACCCAGAGCAGAUAUGUUCUGCAAAACAAACAUCUGGGCAAAUAUCUCUCCCACAAAUAGACAAAAUUCCUUUUCUCAGUAGCAGUGUUUGAGUUAAUAUAAUAUUGAGUCCCAUCCUGAGAGAGAUAUGGAGACACUGUCUGAAGUAUCUUACAGAAAUGUGGUAGAGCAGCAGGCAGAACUUCCAGGAGUCUGUGUCAUAAAAAUAAAGCAUGAACUAGGACAGACUGCA